CCGCGGUAAUACGUAGGGGGCGAGCGUUGUCCGGAUUUAUUGGGCGUAAAGAGCUCGUAGGCGGUUCAACAAGUCGGUCGUGAAAGUUCAGGGCUCAACCCUGAAAUGUCGAUCGAUACUGUUGUGACUAGGAUACGGUAGAGGUGAGUGGAAUUCCGAGUGUAGCGGUGAAAUGCGUAGAUAUUCGGAGGAACACCAAUUGCGAAGGCAGCUCACUGGGCCGCUAUCGACGCUGAGGAGCGAAAGCUAGGGGAGCAAACAGG
rnacentral:rRNA from 1 species